AACAAACGCUGGCGGCGUGCCUAAUACAUGCAAGUCGAACGGGGAAAGCUUUCGGGUGAGUAUUAGUGGCGCACGGGUGAGUAACGCGUGGAUAAUCUGCCUUAGAGUGGGGGAUAACUAGUCGAAAGAUUAGCUAAUACCGCAUAAGACCACAAGAACUGCGGUUCAAGAGGUCAAAGGUUUUUCGCUCUAAGAUGAGUCCGCGUAAGAUUAGCUAGUUGGUGAGGUAACGGCUCACCAAGGCAACGAUCUUUAACUGGUCUGAGAGGAUGAUCAGUCACACUGGAACUGAGACACGGUCCAGACUCCUACGGGAGGCAGCAGUAGGGAAUAUUGCACAAUGGAGGAAACUCUGAUGCAGCGACGCCGCGUGAGUGAUGAAGGCCUUCGGGUCGUAAAGCUCUGUCGCAGGGGAAUAACACAAUGAAUGUACCCUGUAAGAAAGGAUCGGCUAACUUCGUGCCAGCAGCCGCGGUAAAAC
rnacentral:rRNA from 1 species